AGGGCACCACCAGGAGUGGAGCCUGCGGCUUAAUUUGACUCAACACGGGAAAACUCACCCGGCCCGGACACCGUAAGGAUUGACAGACUGAGAGCUCUUUCUUAAUUCGGUGGGUGGUGGUGCAUGGCCGUUCUUAGUUGGUGGAGCGAUUUGUCUGGUUAAUUCCGAUAACGAACGAGACUCCGGCCUAUUAAAUAGACGGUAUAUCGAAAAGUAUAUCGCACUUCUUAGAGGGACAAGCGGCGUCUAGCCGCAUGAAAUAGAGCAAUAACAGGUCUGUGAUGCCCUUAGAUGUCCGGGGCUGCACGCGCGCUACACUGAAAGAAUCAGAGUGCGCUUUGCCUAGUUCGGAAGAACUGGGUAACCCAAGUAAAUUCUUUCGUGCUUGGGAUAGGGAAUUGCAAUUAUUUCCCUUAAACGAGGAAUUCCCAGUAAAUGCGGGUCAUAAGCUCGCGUUGAUUACGUCCCUGCCCUUUGUACACACCGCCCGUCGCUACUACCGAUUGGAUGACUUAGUGA
rnacentral:rRNA from 1 species